rnacentral:rRNA from 1 species
GAGUUUGAUCAUGGCUCAGGAUGAACGCUGGCGGCAUGCCUAAGACAUGCAAGUCGAACGAGGAGACCUUUGGAAGAUGGAGUGCUUGCACAAAGUUAGAAGAAGAUUAUCUCCUAGUGGCAGACGGGUGAGUAACACGUGGGUAACCUACCUUUAAGCUGGGGAUAACAGUUGGAAACGACUGCUAAUACCGAAUAAGAGGUACGUAAAAAUAUCAUUGAAAGGAGCCUUUAAAGCUUCACUUAAAGAUGGGCCUGCGG